rnacentral:piRNA from 1 species
UAAAAAAACAGAAGUGCCAAGGGCAGA